rnacentral:rRNA from 1 species
AGUGAACGCUGGCGGCAGGCCUAAUACAUGCAAGUCGAACGGCAGCACAGUGGAGCUUGCUCCAUGGGUGGCGAGUGGCGGACGGGUGAGGAAUACAUGGGAAUCUGCCCAGUCGUGGGGGAUAACGUAUGGAAACGUACGCUAAUACCGCAUGCGCCCUUCGGGGGAAAGUCGGGGACCGCAAGGCCUGACGCGAUUGGAUGAGCCCAUGUUCGAUUAGCUAGUUGGCGGGGUAACGGCCCACCAAGGCGACGAUCGAUAGCUGGUCUGAGAGGAUGAUCAGCCACACUGGAACUGAGACACGGUCCAGACUCCUACGGGAGGCAGCAGUAGGGAAUAUUGGACAAUGGGCGCAAGCCCUGAUCCAGCCAUGCCGCGUGAGUGAAGAAGGCCCUCGGGUU